rnacentral:rRNA from 1 species
UGAGGAAUUUUGGACAAUGCCCGAAAGGGUGAUCCAGCGACGCCGCGUGGGUGAUGAAGGUCUUCGGAUCGUAAAACCCUGUCGAGCGGGAAGAAACCGGUUAACCCCGGUUGACGGUACCGCUAAAGGAAGCCCCGGCUAAUCCCGUGCCAGCAGCCGCGGUAAGACGGGAGGGGCGAGCGUUACCCGGAGUUACUGGGUGUGAAGGGUCUGCAGGCUGUUCAACGUGCCUGACUUGAAAUACUUUGGCUCAACCAGAGAAUUGGGUCAGAGACUAUUGAACUUGAGUCUGGGGGAGGAAAACGGAACUGCCGGUGUAGCGGUGAAAUGCGUAGAUAUCGGCAGGAACACCCGUGGCGAAGGCGGUUUUCUACCCCGGUACUGACGCUGAGGGACGAAAGCGUGGGGAGCAAUCG